rnacentral:rRNA from 1 species
GCUUACGGCCAUACCACCCUGAACGCGCCCGAUCUCGUCUGAUCUAGGAAGCUAAGCAGGGUCGGGCCUGGUUAAUACUUGGAUGGGAGACCGCCUGGGAAUACCAGGUGCUGUAAGCC